CCUACGGGAGGCUGCAGUGGGGAAUAUUGGACAAUGGGCGAAAGCCUGAUCCAGCCAUGCCGCGUGUGUGAAGAAGGCCUUCGGGUUGUAAAGCACUUUCAGUGGGGAAGAAAGCCUUGGGGCUAAUACCCUCGAGGAAGGACAUCACCCACAGAAGAAGCACCGGCUAACUCCGUGCCAGCAGCCGCGGUAAUACGGAGGGUGCGAGCGUUAAUCGGAAUUACUGGGCGUAAAGCGCGCGUAGGCGGUCUGAUAAGCCGGUUGUGAAAGCCCCGGGCUCAACCUGGGAACGGCAUCCGGAACUGUCAGGCUAGAGUGCAGGAGAGGAAGGUAGAAUUCCCGGUGUAGCGGUGAAAUGCGUAGAGAUCGGGAGGAAUACCAGUGGCGAAGGCGGCCUUCUGGACUGACACUGACGCUGAGGUGCGAAAGCGUGGGUAGCAAACAGGAUUAGAUACCCCGUAGU
rnacentral:rRNA from 1 species